GCUUAUACAUGCAGUCGAGGGGCAGCGGGGGUAGCAAUACCUGCCGGCGACCGGCAAACGGGUGAGGAACAUGUACGCAACCUUCCUUUAACUGGAGGAUAGCCCCUCGAAAGAGGGAUUAAUACUCCGUAACAUAUUGAAGUGGCAUCACUUUAAUAUUAUAGUUCCGGCGGUUAAAGAUGGGCGUGCAACUGAUUAGAUAGUUGGCGGGGUAACGGCCCACCAAGUCAGCGAUCAGUAACUGGUGUGAGAGCACGACCAGUCACACGGGCACUGAGACACGGGCCCGACUCCUACGGGAGGCAGCAGUAAGGAAUAUUGGUCAAUGGACGCAAGUCUGAACCAGCCAUGCCGCGUGGAGGAUUAAGGCCCUCUGGGUUGUAAACUCCUUUUAUCUGGGAAGAAAUGUUUCGAUUCUUCGGAACUUGACGGUACCAGAGGAAUAAGCACCGGCUAACUCCGUGCCAGCAGCCGCGGUAAUACGGAGGGUGCAAGCGUUAUCCGGAUUCACUGGGUUUAAAGGGUGCGUAGGCGGGUAGAUAAGUCAGUGGUGAAAUCUCCGAGCUUAACUCGGAAACUGCCAUUGAUACUAUUUAUCUUGAAUAUUGUGGAGGUAAGCGGAAUAUGUCAUGUAGCGGUGAAAUGCUUANAUAUGACAUAGAACACCAAUUGCGAAGGCAGCUUUACUACGCAGUUAUUGACGCUGAGGCAC
rnacentral:rRNA from 1 species